AUAAAAAGAAAUACUUUAGUUUAAUAUUUUAUAUGUACUGUCAAAUUGCUUACACAAAGUAUUAUAAAUAGGGCAAUGCUCAUUGGAUUGGCAUUAUCUAAUUGCAAUGAAAAUAAACUCAAA